GGAAAUCUGGAAACUAAUGUUGGAUUGCAAAAUGGGCAUUUGAGAUUCAGACACGUCAUACCAUAAGUAAAAAUUUUACUCGUAGAUUUACUCACAGUAAAAAUUUUAUUGGGGGUAAAAUUUUUACUAGUGGUGACGUGGAUGAAUAUCAUACGUCUAUUUUUCGAUCCAAGUAGUUUCCAGAUUUCC
rnacentral:pre_miRNA from 1 species